rnacentral:rRNA from 1 species
GACGUAGGGCGCGAGCGUUGUCCGGAUUUAUUGGGCGUAAAGAGCUCGUAGGCGGUUUGUUGCGUCGGCUGUGAAAUCCCGAGGCUCAACCUUGGGUCUGCAGUCGAUACGAGCAAACUAGAGUGUUGCAGGGGAGACUGGAAUUCCUGGUGUAGCGGUGAAAUGCGCAGAUAUCAGGAGGAACACCGGUGGCGAAGGCGGGUCUCUGGGCAACAACUGACGCUGAGGAGCGAAAGCGUGGGGAGCGAACAGG